GGAAGGAGGAGGCAGCCAGAGUGUUCUCUGCAGCAGAAGACCCCUUGCUGCCCUGCUUAACCCAGACCAGCAUUUGCCAGAGGCAGGUGUCCAUGAGAGGAGAAAACAUUUCCCAACUGAGGAAACAUGCCCUCCAACUUUCAUUGAUCCUGCCAUGCAUACCUGCCUAGAUGGGCAUCCAUCAGGACCAAUUCAUUGAUGGCCAUCAAGCGGAAGCCAGGAGGCUCAGGAGUUAGUGCUCAGUCAGAAGAUCAAGUGCGGGGCUAGAGUCAGAAAAGUGAGAUAAUUACAUUAACAAUUGAAAUAAGGCUUCAUAUACAGGCCUGAUUCUUGGAGGGAUACUUGCAAGCAACUGGGUAAGUUUGAAGGCUUUACAUUAUGUUUGAACUAUACAUCUAUCAUUGAGCUGAUUUCCAUUCAUGAACUGUUGAGCUGAUGUCCAUUCAUGAACUGUUCGUGAGCUCUUUUUUAGAAGACUUGGGAAAGUUUCUUUAUUGAGACUAUCUGUCUAAGAAAACUUCUGGCUGUAAACAGUUUGGAACUGAUGAAGACCACAAAAUGUGCAACUUAGCACUACAUGUUUUCUUUGUUUGUUCAUACAGUCUGUGAUCAUUGCAGAGCACAGAUGUCAGCCAAUGGUGCUUUUUGUCCAAUUGUCUAUGCAUAUGGUUUUAGAGUCUAUUGCAUUGUAUUACAGUAUAUUUUCCUGUACAUACUUUGUCAGUAUCUAAUUGUAUAUAGUGCUAAAUAACUAACUAACUAAAUAAAUGUAUGUGUGUACAGGA